rnacentral:siRNA from 1 species
UGCCAAACCUGUCCCGCCA